rnacentral:tRNA from 1 species
GAGGUAGCUCAAUGGUAGAGCUGUUGGCUAGCAUGAACAAGGCCUUGGGUUCAAUCCCCAGUACCACA